rnacentral:tRNA from 1 species
GAAAGGUGCAUAGAUACUACAAACUAUGGAAUGACUCGAAAUCAGGCAUACGUGCAAGCGUAUCGAGGGUUCGAAUCCCUCCCUCUCCG